GGAAAAGUCUCCGAAUUGGGCCGAGAUUUUGCCUACCCCCCCAUUGUCAGACGUCCCGAGCGCGUCCCCGAGGUCGGAAUCGGCAAAGGUGAGCCGGGACAGCCUUCUUCCUCCGCCCAGCCGCCACAGUAAUUUGUCGUCAAGUCUGCCACAGGAGGAUAUUUUAUUCUGGGUUAACCUGCUUUUAUCCUUCGCAGGUUGUUUAUCCAUGUUUGUGUAAUUUUAAUUACUCCUAGAAUUUC